UUAAUUCUAGAUUUAAUUCAGACACAGACGAUAUAUUGCAUAAAUACGACGCCAAAGCGCCGAAGCACGGCUCGCUUCCACGGUUUUUGGGGUUUGAAGGCCCAGAGGGCCGUUCGUUAAUGAUCCCUCCGCAGGUUCACCUACGGAGA
rnacentral:misc_RNA from 1 species